AUUUCUUUAAUACAAUAAGUAUAUUUGACUUCCAAUCAAAAAGUCUAGAUUAUUCUAGAAGAAAUA
rnacentral:tRNA from 1 species